CAAAAAUGCAGGUAGUAAUUAAAACCUUAAGAGCUAGGGGGGAAAAAAGUAAAGCAUGAAUUUGGCUGGGCCUAAGGCAAGCUCUGCAAAUACUCUGUGCACUGGAUAUGGCUUUUCAGAUCAGGCCCCGGGGCUUGGCCUGGCCUUGGACACAGUUACUCUAAGUACUCAGCACACUGCUUGAGAGCUCUGGAAUCGGGCAAAGCUGGGUCACUAGCCAAGUAGCUGAGACCGUGACGGAGAGUGAUGGUGGUGGAGGUAGCAACAUCCCUGAGUCUUU